rnacentral:RNase_P_RNA from 1 species
AUACAAAUCGUCUUAUCGCUGUUUGUUUACAAAUGGAGGAAAGUCCGGACACCAAAGGGUAGUAUAGCGGGUAACCCCCGUCCAUCGAAAGAUGAGGACCAGUGCAACAGAAAGAAUGUACAGAUCAUGCUGUAGUGAAACCAGGUAAACUCUAUGCGGUGCAAUGUCAAGUAUACCCACAGUUAAGUGCGACCCGUGCGUUGUGGGAGGGUAGGCAGCUAGAAUGAUUUAGCAAUAAAUCAUCCAGAUAAAUGAUAAGAAUUCUCUAGGUAGAAUACAGAAUCCGGCUUAUAGAUUUGUUAUUCAC